GGUUAAUGCGGUUUCAAAUCAUUUUUGACGAUUUUUGGUGAUUGCAUCGAAAUCUCAUCUAUUACGUCAUUUUCGAAACUAUACGAAUUUUGAUUGGCUAAAUCGGACGUUGGGAGAAUUUGCUAUGGAGUGGUGAUUUUUUGGCUACACCGAGAUCAAAGAUUUAUCAACUUGUUGUUUUUCGACAACAUCAUUGCGACAUUAACAAUAUCUUCAAACAUGACCGUUGUUCCCUUGAACACUUACAGUUUUGAGUAAGAAAAUCGCCAAAAACUAAGAUUCAUCAACGUCAAUGUUUAGCUUGUCACGUCACACUCAUUAUCAUCAGCUGUUGAGCACCUUGUCAAAGAAGUCGGCA
rnacentral:lncRNA from 1 species